CAUUCUGUACUAGAUCAGGAGAGAGAAUGUUGGUUCAAAUCUAAGAUGCAGAGCAGAUUGGUUAAGGACUAAGUUAGUUGAUCAUUUCCUAAGACAAGACUAGGACUAGCAGCAAAGGUGGUAUGGAUACUAUCAAGAUGAGAGGAGAAGUGGACAAACUGAAAACUAGUUCAAGGUCUAACUUUACAAACAUGACCUACCCACUGUGGCAUCCCUCUUACGCUUAGCCUGAUGUGCUUUGGUAGAGGAAGCACCACCCAUAUGAGUCUGCAUUUGCCAAAGGUGCCUUAGAAGAAAGGGAAAGAACUGGAACAGGUCAGCAAGUCCCAUGCUAAUGGGACUCAUGUCAAGCUGGGUCAAGUUGGGGUGUAGAUCUCUCAUUGAGAGCUAAAGCAUGGCGCUAAAAUAAGGGAAAGCAGAGACAUAGAAAACAAUCAAAUCUGAAGAAACCAGAGGAUGGAGAUGGAGGCUGUAGAACAAGGUGGGAAUGGAAGCUGGUGGAGAACAAUAAGGUCCUGCUGAGGAUCCCUGGUGCCCAGUAGGGAACACCGUGAGGAGGAGGAUUAAGAAAGGCACCCUUUCCACUGAUUUGCAUCGCCAUUUGUACAUGGAGUUUGGCUACAGCAAAAUCCGUUGCUAUCUCACCAGCUACAAGAAGCAAAGAACGAAUUGCAAUUCAUUUUUGUGCUCUAGGACCCGGUUGAGGGUAAGAGAAAAGAAGUCUUGUCUUUCCAAUUCUCCAGGGAUCUCAAACUCCUCAUUUUUUAUUGCUGUGUACCAAGCUCCCAGAGGUGACUUAAAAUGAGCUCCAUCCUGAAACAGAUGAAACACUGGCUGCAUAAGUACUGCCCCAGCGUUAAGAUGUGUGGUCUUUGGACCACUUUUCCUCCUGGGCAGAAAAGCAGAGUAGAGUCCUAGUGAAUGUGAGAGGAUGAAAGAAUGGGAGGGCUUCAGAAAGGUACUAGCCAAUCAAGGCUCUGAUGAUCAUGGAAUAGUUAUAUCUGUUCAGAAAGAAGGAAAAAGGGAUCAAGCUGAGAGUAGGAGGGCAUGGGUAGGGAAACCAAGUGUAUGGAAGAAUCCUUUAAAAGAAUGACAACGAAGGUGGG
ensembl:lncRNA novel transcript